rnacentral:rRNA from 1 species
AUUGAACGCUGGCGGCAGGCCUAACACAUGCAAGUCGAACGAGUGGCGGACGGGUGAGUAAUGUCUGGGAAACUGCCUGAUGGAGGGGGAUAACUACUGGAAACGGUAGCUAAUACCGCAUACCAUCAGAUGUGCCCAGAUGGGAUUAGCUAGUUGGUGGGGUAACGGCUCACCAAGGCGACGAUCCCUAUCUGGUCUGAGAGGAUGACCAGCCACACUGGAACUGAGAAACGGUACAGAGUCCUACGGGAGGCAGGAGUGGGGAAUAGUGCACAAUGGGCGAAAGCCUGAUGCAUCAAGGACGCGUGUAUGAAGAAGGAAUUAGGGUUGUAAAGUACUUUGAGCGGGGAGGCGUUACCCGCAGAAGAAGCACCGGCUAACUCCGUGCCAGCAGCCGCGGUAAUAC